rnacentral:lncRNA from 1 species
CGAUCCCAUAAAUCAUAACAGCAAGCUGGGCAUGAAAAGCUUCCCAAUUCCCCUUCUCUGCUUCUCCUCUGGCAACUCUCAGCAGAAACUUCAAUGGCAGACCCACAACAUCCCCACUGGGCUUCCAGUUAUCACAGACUUCUUUGACACUCAACUGGAGAGCUCUGGCAACAGCUCUGAAAUCAACUUCCUUCGGUACGUCCAAGAAAGGAACCUGAUGCUGAAUCGGGACACUCAACAGAAUGGAAUACUCCUCGAGAGUAGGCGCCAAC